UGCUAUGAAAUCGAGUUCGAUCAAAUAUCCAAAGCAUUUUAACAAGAGCUCAUCUCGAGAUUUGAAUUUUAAACAUUUUUUGGGCGUGAAGGAUAUUUGUUUCAAACAUGAAUUUGUUUAUUAUUGGUGUUAUUCUUUUUGCGCUAUUGAUCACUGUAAUCAAAGUGUCUGCAGUACCUAAACCACAGUUCUUUGGAUUCCCAUCUUACGGGUAUAAUAGAGGCGGAUAUGGAUAUAAUCGUGGGCAUUACGGUGGCUACCACGGUCGUCGUCGCGGAUCAGGAGGAUACGGAGGGUACUCGGGCUACGGCUCCGAUUAAAUACUCCAUCUUCUGAAUAAUAUUUUAAACUUACUGAAAAUUGCUUUGUUUUUCCAUAUGUUAUUUUUUAAAGUCAAUAAAAUACCAUAUGAUUGAUUAUGUCAGGCAAAAAUCUUCAUCAACGCAA